AGCGAACGUUAGCGGCGGGCCUAACACAUGCAAGUCGAACGCGAAAGGUCUUCGGACUGAGUAGAGUGGCGCACGGGUGAGUAACACGUAGGUAAUCUACCCUUUGGCGGGGGAUAACGUUCCGAAAGGAGCGCUAAUACCGCAUAAGACCACGGAGUCUCCGGACGCUGUGGGAAAAGGUGGCCUCUUCUUGAAAGCUACCACCGAAGGAUGAGCCUGCGUCCCAUCAGCUAGUUGGUAAGGUAAUGGCUUACCAAGGCGAAGACGGGUAGCUGGUUUGAGAGAAUGAUCAGCCACACUGGCACUGGAACACGGGCCAGCCUCCUACGGGAGGCAGCAGUGAGGAAUAUUGGGCAAUGGGCGAAAGCCUGACCCAGCCACGCCGCGUGAGUGAUGAAGGCCCUCGGGUCGUAAAGCUCUGUGGAGAGGGACGAAAACCCUGGUUUCAAAUAGGCUCCAGGCUUGACGGUACCUCUUUAGCAAGCACCGGCUAACUCUGUGCCAGCAGCCGACGG
rnacentral:rRNA from 1 species